AUUGAACGCUGGCGGCAGGCCUAACACAUGCAAGUCGAACGGUAACAGGAAGAACCUUGCUUCUUUGCUGACGAGUGGCGCGCGGGUGUGUCAUGUCUGUGAAACUGCCUGAUGGAGGGGGAUAACUACUGGAAACGGUAGCUAUAACCGCAUAUUGUCGCAAGACCAAAGAGGGGUACCUUCGGGCCGCUUGCCUUCGGAUGUGACCAGAUGGGAUUAGCUAGUAGGUGGGGUAACGGCUCACCGAGGCGACGAUCCCUAGCUGGUCUGAGAGGGUGACCAGCCACACUGGAACUGAGACACGGUCCAGACUCCUACGGGAGGCAGCAGUGGGGAAUAUUGCACAAUGGGCGAAAGCCUGAUGCAGCAAUGCCGCGUGUAUGAAGAAGGUCUUCGGGUUGUAAAGUACUUUCAGCGGGGAGGAAGAGAGUAGAAUUAAACCCUGUGCUCAUUGACGGUACCCGCAGAAGAAGCACCGGCUAACUACGUG
rnacentral:rRNA from 1 species